GCUGUAGCUCAGUUGGUAAAAUAUCUGCUUGGCAUGCAGAAGGUCCCAGGUUCAAUCCCUGCCAUCUCCA
rnacentral:tRNA from 1 species